rnacentral:rRNA from 1 species
UACAGAGGGUGCGAGCGUUGUUCGGAAUUACUGGGCGUAAAGCGCACGUAGGCGGACUCUUAAGUCGGUGGUGAAAUCCUGGAGCUCAACUCCAGAACUGCCUUCGAUACUGGGAGUCUCGAGUCCGGGAGAGGUGAGUGGAACUGCGAGUGUAGAGGUGAAAUUCGUAGAUAUUCGCAAGAACACCAGUGGCGAAGGCGGCUCACUGGCCCGGUACUGACGCUGAGGUGCGAAAAGCGUGGGGGAGCAAACAGG